rnacentral:lncRNA from 1 species
AAAAUGGUAGUGCAUUCUACUUGUCACUCGGUGGUUGACUCUGAUAUCAAUUAUUGAGUGGCUUGUUUCUGUUAGCUACCCAUAUUGGAAUUAGCACAAAAAUUUUUCAUUUUCGUAUAAUUAACAGGGAGGAAAAAUCCUAUUUUGAAGGUGUUGGAAUUACAGACCAUCGACUCAUGGGCUUCAUCAUAGAAUUAACAGGGAUGAAAAACCCUAAUUUCCAUAUCAUGUUUCAAUAAAAUCUGAUAGUAUCUUCUAUUUCACAAUGUCACAAUUAGCUUUACAUAUAAGAGGAAGAAAUACAUUCUAGUUAUCUACCGGGCGUCAACAACAGUUAGAGUAACGAGGUUAACAGAACAAUUUUUCAGGCUCUGUUGAGAGGAACCUGCAGAAUCUAAGGCAACUUGCCUUUCAGUAAAUGCUGGUUGCUUUGGUAUAGGAAGAUCCACGAUUUCACUGUUCAGCAUUGAUAUAACAGUUGAUACAGUUGGCCUGUCUUUUGCAAAUUCUUGCACACACAAUAGACCUACAUGUAUGCAUCUCGAAAUUUCAGCUUGAUAGCACGGAUCGGACACUACUGGAUCAACUAGAGCCGCAUUGUUGCCUUCAUUCCACAAUUUCCAUGCCUGCAGGAAACACAAAAUUAGAUGAACAAAAAGACAGCUAUGAGCUGAAAGGACAUACAAAUCCUAGAAGGCUCAAAGCUUGCUCAUUUUCAUAAAAACUAGUAUUUCUUCUCCCGCUUACAAUCUCUAACAACAGUACUCCGAAGCUAAACAUGUCCGAUUUCUCUGAAAAUCGUCCUCCCAUUGCAUAUUCAGGCGACAUAUAGCCACUGCAAGUUAUCCAGUAAAGAUUUCUAAGCUCAUAUAAAAUGAUAAGAUAAUGGAAUCGAUGAAAAAAGUACUUACUAUGUUCCAACAACCCUUCUAGUGUUUUCUCCAGUCUAGUAUCUGUUUCUUACUCGGGUCUGGCAUACAUUGCACACAAAAAAUGAGUAGAAUAAUUUAGCAGCGGUUUUUUCAGUAAGCUAUAUUAAUCAAAUAAAGAUGAUAUGCUAUAAAAAUUGAAUUCAACAAUAGAUCGGAUCACAGCUUUCUAACCAAAAAGAAAUGCAUCCAAGCUUUUAUUUGGCAUGUACUCAUAGACCAGCAUUUUCUCUUUUCCUUCGACACAGCAACCAAAGAGUCUCACCAGAUUUCGAUGUUGGAGUUUUGAUAUCACCACCACCUCAUUCAUAAAUUCUUCUAGUCCUUGUCCUGACGCUCUUGACAAUCUUUUAACAGCUAUCUCUCGUCUAUCACUCAAUUUUCCCUGAAAACUCACAAUGGCCCAUUAUAAAUAGAUAUUCAAUAACUAGUGAAGUCCAUUAGAGAAGUGCCAUUACCUUGUAUACUGGACCAAAACCACCCUGUCCAAGCUUAUUAGCUACAUCAAAGUUUCCAGUGGCAAGGGCAAGCUUCUGUAAAUUGAACACUGGUAAUUCCUGGAGCUUAACUUUGUCAAUGCUGUCCACUAGCAUGUUUACAUCCGAAAAUGUUGGAUGAUUUUCAUUGCUAUUGACUAAUAACAUCUCCCUGUUUUUCCUCCUCCUUUCUGAGUAAGUGAGGUUGAACAAGAAAGUCAAUUGCAAAUCAACGGUUUCUUUUCUACAAAAUUGUGAAUGUAAAUAGAAUUCGAGUAGAUUACCUUCAUACUUAGCCAUCGACCUCCACAUAAAAAAUGCAAAAAUGGAAAUUGUAAUUACUCCUAUAACCACUGCUAUGCCGAUAAUUACGUUCAAGUUUCUGUUGUUAUCUGAAAAUGAAAAGAGGUAACUUGCUUAAACUUACCGACCAAAUAAGGCAUCAGCACAAACAGCAGAUAGUAUCAAGCAUAACUUUAUAUGUAUGAAAAUCUAGUAGCAAGUACCAAGUUCGGAAUAUGCGAGGCGAAUGUAAAGAUCUGCCCCUCCACUAGAAAACUUCUGUAUGUCUAUUAAGUUUCCAGUCCAAGACAUACAACCAACAUCAGAAACGUAGGAAUAAGCAAUACAAGAACAAUCAUUCAAGCAAUUGUCUUUACACUCUUGUUCAAGGGAAGGUGACCAGUAGGCCAAAUCAGGCACUUUAACUGUCUCCAGCUUCGAAAACUCAUCAUGUUUUCCUGCUUCGUCGCCAGUUUUAAUUCUCUCACAUUGCAAUAGUCUUCUCCUAACACAACCACCAGUCCAGUUUCCCCUACUCCAUUCAUCAGCACUUUUUGGCUCAAACCCUUUCAAGCAACUACAGACUGGUGAAUUCUUUGGAUUACAGACUCCAAACUCCCCACACACGCCAUAAAUAUCACAUUCAUUCUCUGGACUUUGCCAAUCAAUUUGCCAGCUCUUCGAACUGUUAGUCCACGUUUUUUGUAUCAAUUUUCCUUCAGGACUCAGAACAAAGAUAUAAGGAUGAGAUUUAUCUAUAUAAGUGAAACGUAUGGAAAAAUUUCCACUACUUCUAUCCCCUUCAAGAAGAAAACCAUCAAGAAAACCAGAAGCCAUAUCAGGAACCCCAAUAAAGAUCCGACUAUUCCAUUGACCACUUCUCCAAUAUGGACGAUUGCCUUUCCAAAUGAAAAAUUGAGGAAUUUCAAAGACAUCCAUACCAGCAGAAAAGCUUCCAAUGGAUGGAUCUGAAGGGUCUUUCCAGGAUGUUAGCAAAAUUUUCUCGUGUUCUUUGAUUGGCAGUAAGCUUCAUGCUACUCAAAAAUGAAUCUCCUGGAUGCUGGAAACUCUCCCAUAUGAUAUUUCCGUUGUUAUUAUCUCGCAAUACUAAGUUUCCCACAUCAGUAAGCUCUGCACUUGAAUUAUCAACUCUGGUUAAAACACUAGAUGACCAAAGAACAUCUCUGUUUCCAUUCAAAACGACUAGAUUUCCAUCUUCAUAUAUUUUCAUAAUCCCAGAAGAAUCUUUGAGUGGCUUGUUUCUGUUAGCUAUCCAUAUUGGAGUAGACAUAGGAUUUUCAUAAUACCAUAUACCCACAUAGCGAUUUGUGGAAUUAACUGGGCUGAAAAAUCCUAAUUUAAAGGUUUUUCCUGGAGAGACUACAAAUUCAGGAUCUUUGAUAAAUUGAGAUGAUGUGACUGUAUCUAUUGAAUAAGCACGAAAAUCUAUACAAAAACAGGCUAGUAAGAAAAUAGCUGCUAUAACUUUGCUGCUGCCAAACCCCAUAACUGUUUAAUUCCUUGUUUCUUGACGAUAAUGGAAAAAGGAGCUAACGGAUCAUUAAGUAUGGAAAUUUACUACUGUUUUCUAUUAGUUCUCUGAAUUGCAGUUUUUUUUUUUCUCUUUUGAAAUACGAUGACUCUCUUCCCGCCGGUUUACCGGUUACUUUUCUUUGGUCAGCUAUAGAUUUUUCUAUGGGCGCAGUGAUGGUUGACAAUGCUGUUAGCCAUUAACAAUCUUUGUUCUUUUUGUUUCUUGUUUUAAUUUGAUUAUUGUAGUGGUCAAGGAUUAUGUAGAGAAAACACGAUUUAAAAAAAAAAGUAAAGAAAAUACCAAAGUCCUUGAUUUUAGGGGGUUUGACGUCGUUAUUAUAUAUAUUGCAGAAAGCUAAUGAAGGAAAUGAAUAAUUUCUCUGCAAAACCUGUUUCUUUGAGAUUUCUUCUUAAAUUCACAGCAAAUUCCCCAUGGGUCCUCUCUCAUUCAGUUUUAACUUGGCUCUAAUAAGACUAGAUAUCAAAUAAUUUCAACUUCUUUAUAAUUUUAACUAUACAUACAAUUAUUGAGACAGUUCUGUCUGCAUUUAACUAUGCAACUGCAAGAUUUGAAAAUGACUAAAGAAUUCGUACCGAGAAAGAAGAAGAUUAACUCCGCAACUCUGACCUCCUGCCAUAUCAGAGUGAAUCCUCAUCCUUCAAUUCCUUAAUUACAUACAGGAAUAAUUACAGGAAUUCAGUUCUACCUACGCCGUGAGGCGAGGGCCAUCAACCGGAAUUGUUAACGCUUAGUACCCAUUGAUUCUUUGGUAAAUAGAUCUCUAUCAACUAUUCCGUAGCCCAGCGCUUGAACUUUACCUUCUCCAUCUCGUCUCCGAUCUCUUGAAUUUCUUUUGUUCAUCUCACUCUUCCGUCUUCGAGGACAAAGAAGCAAAGAACCAGAUCGUUUGUUGCUAAUGAAAUAACGACGUCAUUCAGUAAUCAGAUAAGAUAAUAUUAUCAUUUACUUUUCGUUUCUCCGCGAUGAACGAACGACCUGUCGUUUCUUAAAAUACACAAUCAUUAUUCACUUCAUUUAUUUAUCUUUUCAAUUUUAUUUAUUUAUUUAUUUUUAUAAACAUCUACCAACAUUCUUAACCAUUUUCAUACUAAGAAAUAAACUCCAUCCAACAAAAUGCAUAUUACAAGUAGGGAAUUUUCUAGGAAAGCUAUUUUGUUAAAUAACUCCAAAGUGGGAAAGAGGAGAGGACAUUACAUAUAUUUUUUCCCAGUAAAUAACUGUAAUUUUUUUAGAUGAACAUUAAAAAUAUUUUUGUGAUUGUAGAAUAAAUAAUUUUAUUUUUUUUAAAAUCCAAUUGAGAUUCGAAUUGGAAUCUCAAACUCCUAGAAAAAUUAUUCAGGUACUUGUCCUUCCUUUUCGAUGCAAACAGGUUGUUUUGUUUCUAUUUUCUAUUAUUAUAAGAUUCUGGAGGGUGAUGUACUUAUCCUCUUGUAAGAAAACCCAUCUUCAUCGAAGCAACGGGCUUUUUGGACUUCUUGUCACGCUCACACUGAAAAUAUCGUUUUAACAAGAAGCAGCUGCUCAGCUUUAUAACACCCAUCUUCACAGAAAUUAACAAGUCCUUUUUUGGAUUUCUCUUUUUCAGACAACUUAUCUCUUUCCCAAUUUUUGUUUCAUAUACAUGUAACAAUUUAAAUAUCAUCGGAAUUGGAAUCACUUACAAUAUUAUAUACGAACGUGGCUUUGCCCGGAAGAGUAGGAAACUUACCUAUCACUAUUCUGAUAUUUUCUGAUCAGGAAAAUUGUUGUAACUUGAGACUCGCAAUUGUUUGUUCACAUUUGACGAAUGCGGAAGGUAGAAGUAGAAGAAUGUCGUUUCGUACCAAAUAGUAUCUCUUUCAUAAUUAAUGUUAUUUCCCAGCAAACUUCUUUCUAAGAUCUUGAUAUUUAGAAUGAUCAGAAAAAUUAGUUAAUAGAAAUAGUUUAUAGUUAAAAGGAAAAUGAUUUCCUUUAUUUAGGAAUAAAUCGAACUUACAAGAAAGAGAAGAUUCUAUUACUCGGUUUUCGUUUUUCUUUUUUCUUUUUUCUUCUUUUCAUACUGAAAUUAUCAAGAUAACAAAUAAUUAAGAAGUUAAAUUUUUUUUAACUCUUUUUUUUUACUCUUAGAAUAAAAUUUUUUAACUCUUUAUUAUACUACUAAAAAUAACUAUAAAAUACAGGUGGUAUAUUAAAAUAUCGAUUCAAUAAUAGGCCUAUUUAUAAAAAGAUGUGUCAAUUAGAAGAAGUUUCUUCCUCAAUUUUGAUUGGUGUUUAAGUUGGUUGAUGCGUAAAUUUCUUUGUGAGCAAAUAGGGAACGGCUGCGAUGGCCAUAGGACUUCAAAUUGGACGGUUUGGACUCUCUAAUUAGUAAUUACCCCAGCCAUGUGGAACCUUCAACAGUAUACGCGGACGAAUCGGUGAAACACAAACAAAGUCACACGUGAUAAAAAUUCCAUUAAUUGGAUUAAUUAAUUUUAAAUUAACAAUUAAUUAUUACUGCUUCGUACUGUUAUUACUUAUUAGAACCUAACGUUGGACCACUGAUUAAUAUUGAAUAUUAAAUAUGUCGUCAGCCUUUCCCUUUAGACUGUAAUGGAAUGUACAAUGCACGCAACCAAAUUAGAACUAAUUAAGCUUAAUUAAUUAAUUAUGAAGGACAACAUAAUCUUAUUUGUUCAUAGCAUUUCUAGUACCUUCUUCUCUUUUGUCCAAAAUAAACUAAAAUUAUCAUUUUGGAUGAACAGUAUUAGAGACAAGAAGCAAUCAGUAAAUUGACAAAAAUGAAUUGAAAUUUGAAUGAAUAAAAUGACAAAAGACACGGUUUCUAGCUGUUUUCAAGUCUAUGGAUAAAAAAGAAAGAUGGCGACCACUGAAUGUGAGGACUGAGGAAGAAAACAAUGAAGAAGGAAGCUAUUCGUGGUAGGGAGGAUUCUUCUGGCAAACCAACAAAAUAAGCUACAGUAUUAGAAACCAAAUUGUAGAAUAAAAAGAUAAAUGGGGAAGCGGAAACAAAUUGAAGAAAAUGGUAGUGCAUUCUACUUGUCACUCGGUGGUUGACUCUGAUAUCAAUUAUUGAGUGGCUUGUUUCUGUUAGCUACCCAUAUUGGAAUUAGCACAAAAAUUUUUCAUUUUCGUGUAAUUAACAGGGAGGAAAAAUCCUAUUUUGAAGGUGUUGGAAUUUCAGACCAUAGACUCAUGGGCUUCAUCAUAGAAUUAACAGGGAUGAAAAACCCUAAUUUCCUAUAUCAUGUUUCACUGAAAUCUGAUAGUAUCUUCUAUUUCACAAUGUCACAAUUAGCUGUACAUAUAAGAGGAAGAAAUACAUUCCAGUUAUCUACCGGGCGUCAAUAACAGUUAGAGUCACGAGGUUAACAGAACAAUUUUUCAGGCUCUGUUGAGAGGAACCUGCAGAAUCUAAGGCAACUUGCCUUUCAGUAAAUGCUGGUUGCUUUGGUAUAGGAAGAUCCACGAUUUCACUGUUCAGCAUUGAU